AAGUAAUCCCUCCGUCCCAUACGAAAUCAACCUAGUACUGGAUGUGACACAUCCUAGUACUACAAAUUUAGACAUAACUCUGUCCAUAUUCGUUAUAAUAGAAUGCGUCACAUUCAGUCCUAAAUUAGUUUUUUUUGAGACGGAGGGAGU
rnacentral:misc_RNA from 1 species